rnacentral:rRNA from 1 species
UACGUAGGGGGCAAGCGUUGUCCGGAAUCAUUGGGCGUAAAGAGCGCGUAGGCGGCCCAGUAAGUCCGCUCUGAAAGUCAGGGGGCUCAACCCCUGAAUGCGGGUGGAUACUGCUGGGCUAGAGUCCGGAAGAGGCGAGUGGAAUUCCUGGUGUAGCGGUGAAAUGCGCAGAUAUCAGGAGGAACACCGAUGGCGAAGGCAGCUCGCUGGGACGGUGACUGACGCUGAGGCGCGAAAGCGUGGGGAGCAAACAGG